GACAUUUCUUUUUGGUCUUUGGCAGGGGUUUUUUCCGGCUUGAGGAUCGCCUGAGACCAGCCACCCUGAUAGCUGAUGAAGCUGUGGGUUUGCACAAACUGUCAGAAACCGUCUCGGGGAAGCUCAUCUGCGUGCUUGUUGUUCUCACUAUUGUCUUGACCUAACUGCAGUUUUGUGUCGUAACUGACGAUGGACACUAGCUUGCUGGAGAAGUGUGCUCCUCACCAAUGAAUCUCAGUUUCAACUGUACCGACCAGAUGUGUUUUGAUGAUGUCCACGUUGUGAACAGAGUGCCUCAUGGUGGAAGUGGGGUUUAUGGUAUGGGCAGGCAUAAGCUCAUUGUUGUGCCAUUCAUCCGCUGCCAUCACCUCAUGUUUCAGCAUGGUAAUGCAUGGCCCCAUGUCGCAAGGAUCUGUACAGAAUUUCUGGAAGCUGAAAAUAUCUCAGUUCUUCCAUGGCCUGCAUACUCACCCCCUAGCACUCCCAUUGAGCAUGUUUAGGAUGCUCUGGAUCUACGUGUACGACAGCGUGUUCCAGUUCCCGCCAAUGUCCAGCAACUUCGCACAGCCAUUGAAGUGGAGUGGGACAACAUUCGACAGGACACAAUCAACAGCAUGACCAACUCUAUGCAAAGGAGAUGUGUCACGCUGCAUGAGGCAAAUGGUGGUCACACCAGAUACUGACUGGUCUUCUGAUCCACACCCCUACCCUUUUUGUAAGUUAUCUGUGACCAACAGAUGCAUAUCUGUAUUCCCCGUCAUGUGAAAUCCAUAGAUUUAAUUUAUUUCAAUUUACUGAUUUCCUUAUAUGAACUGUAACUCAGUAAAAUCUUAAAAAUUGUUGUAUGUUGCAUUUAUAUUUUUGUUCAGUGUACAUCUCCGGGACUCACCCUAGAAGACAAAGGAAUAUAGUUUGUUUUAAAUGCCGUGACUUAGUAAUCUUUUCACCAACAGAACAGGUGCUAAAAAAAGCCUGUCCUUACUAGUGUAAGGGAAAUGUUUAUGUUUGUGCUAUUCUUAUAACGAAUUUCUGUGUUGUAUUCAUGUGCUGUUCUAUAAACCAAUUUCUGUGUUCUUGCAAGUGACUGACUGUACAAAUCCUCACUAUCAGUAGCUGCAAUUUGGCAGUAUGCCCAGACCUUUUUUUGAGAGAUAUCUCAGUUUCAAGGUUUCAGCUUAGAGAGAUAGAAGCCUCGUGAGGUGUUGGUCUGUCACAUGUUAUGAACCAAUAUUGGUCUGUCACAUGGAUGAAACAAAAUGGUAAUUAU
ensembl:lncRNA